CCGCGGCCUUACCGGGGCCUCCCCGCAGCCUUUCGGGGCUCGGCGGGGCCGUUUGGGGCCUGCCCGGGGCUCGGCGGCGCCGUUUGAGGCCUGGCCGAGGCUUGAGCGGAGCUUUUUGGGGUCGAGCCGGGCCCUUCCCGAGGCCUCCGGGGCCGAACCGGGGCAGAACCGGGGCUUUAAAGGCCUUUAACGGGAAGAACCCCCCGGUGCUCCCGCUUUUGAUUCUUUCUCUCCGGAAUUUGGGGGCGAUUUCAGCCGAAAUCGCUGUAAAAUCGGAGCUUUUUCGUUUUGUAUUUGUCUUAUUUAACAGCAGCGCUUUUCCCGUUUUUUUUCCCCCGGGAUUUCGGCUCCUCCCAAGGGUCAGAAAAUCCCGGGAUUUGAGGAGCGGGAUGAAAUUCCAAGGAUUUCUUCACUCCAGCGAGGAUUUUUUGGCUUUUUUACUGCGGUUUUUGCUUUGAGCGAACCCAAAUCCGUGUGAAAUCCGUGAUCCAGGGAAUUCCUCCCUCGGGAAUGCUGUCCCUGGAACCAGGAAUGACUUAAGGGUAACGCCGCACUUGGCUUUUCCUCGAUAAAUUAUUAUUUAGGAAUUUAAGGAAAAAGAAAAAGGGUUUUUUGGUUUUUUUUUUUGGAUAAAAAUCCGGUGUUUUCCGGCAAGGACUGCCAGCCAUCCCGGCUUCUGGAACUUUGGGAGCCUCCGCGGGGGAUUUUUUGGGGAGUUUUAUUUAAAGAAAAAAUUAAAACAAAAAGGAAAAUCACACAGAAACCCAAGGAGGAGGAAAAAGGGGAUCGAAGAUUCCUGAGGAACGCUCCCGCUCGGGGUUGCAGGGAUCCGGGCACGGCUGGGAUCGCUCCUGGCUGAGAUUUGGAGGAAAGGAGACAUUUGAAGGAAAACUCCCUUUAAAAAGCGGGAUCACAGCUCCAGGUGCUUCCCAUUCCCAUUUUCCCCCCCUGGAGCCAGGUUGGUUUUUUCCAGGGAUUUAUUGGGAAUUUCCUGCUGGGAUUUGGGGAUGGGUGGGGGAUUCCUGCUGUGAUCCCGAUGUUUCCCUUUGUUUUGGAGACCGUAUCCAGGGAAAGGCCAGGGCUGGGAGCAGGAACAGGGAUGGAUCCCCAUGGAGAAUCCCAGGGAUUGGGAUCCUUAUGGAAAAACCCUGGGAUUGGGGUUGGGAUCUCAGUGGAAGAUCCUUGGGAUUGGGGU
rnacentral:lncRNA from 1 species